CUAUGGUAAUAAAGCUAGUGGUUAUCAUAAAUAUUAACAAGAAAAAUACUCAAAUUUGUGGGCUUCUUUGGUCGCUUGUGCCACCAUCCUGCCAGUUAUUCUCUUAACCCUCUGCGGAUCAGUUUAAAGGGACAUGUACCCCUAAUACUUACCCCCAACCUACCCAUCCAGCCCUGACAAGUAUUAGGACAUGCGCAAGUGCAAAACAGAGGGGUAGGGCUAAGUGGUAGGGCCAAGGGGUGAAGAAAAAAGAUUAGGCCUUAGUGUCUAUAUGAUCAGUGAAGCUUUAAAAAAAAAAAAAAGCGAGUGGUCAUAAUGUUAUGCUUGAUUGGUAUAUGUUGCCAUGAGCACAGAGUGUUGCUCUGUUACCAUGUCAUGACAUGCAAGAUUAAAGUUAAAUCUCAACCUGUGUUGCCUGGCAAGUAAAUGACAAUAAGACCACAGUAAUCACAGUCAACAAAGCCCUGUAAACUGAGAUCACAGAGACAUACAGUACUUAAAUUCCCAGAACUUAUACAUGUCGUAUGAGACGUCCAGUCUGUUGUCAUAGGAAACAUCGUCUAUAGUUCCACAACAGUCCUGGAACGAAACUGCUGGGACAGAUCUUAAAGCCGUUAUACCUCCACACGUCCUCCGGCGGACACCAGCAGCUGAUCAUAAGCGACAAAAAAACUGAUUAAAAAAAGUUUGGAGAAGUCGUUCAAACCCGAUUAGCUACUUAGCUACAAUUUUUUGGAGCCUUGCUCACAUCAAUCACAGCCGCACCGGUUUCUUUGGACAAGUGUCUACUGGGUCCUAACGAUGGGGUGUAGCUCGAGUCGAGGAAUGGAGGUUGUGGAUGCUACCAAGCAGCCCAAAGACAGGCCCGGAUCAGCCAGCUCCAAGUCAUCAGACGAGGGAGAUGAAAAGAAUUCGAGGAAAGGAAAGCAAGAAAAAGCUAAAGGGAAAGAGAAAGAUGACAAGAACUGAUGAACCCCUCCAUCUUCAAUCCAUCUGCUCACGUUUCAGCAUAUUUUAAGUCUCCAGCUCGGUCUCCUCCCCUGUAGAAGAUUCCAGAUCCACUCUCCCGCUCUGAUCAUCUACUCUGAUACUCUACUCACAUAUUCAUCUGAAAUCACUCAACUGAUACCACCUAAUCAUACAACAGCACUUCAUGCCUCAUUAUCCAACUUUAAUCAUGUAUUUGUCAAAUAAUUAAAUGAACUAAAAUAAAUGCCAACUAAAAUAAA